rnacentral:lncRNA from 1 species
AAUAAACAUAAUUUAUUUGAUUCUGCUAUUUCCUUUUUCAAUUGCUUGAUUUAGCAAUCUCGGUAAUGGUCUUUAACAAAUUCUUUAUUUAUUUUCCUAAACAGAAAAAAGAGGAAAAAAAUGAAAAGAAGCUGCAAAGAGAUUAAUUCCAUCACGAUACCUCAUUUUCCUCAGCAGAAUGAGAACUGCAGAAUUAGCACAGAUUUCUGCUACUUGAGCUAAUGAAGUGCCACUACCAGUCACGGGUUGUCAUCCUCUGAGUAAAGCACUCCCAGAAGAGGAUCGCUGAUGGGCAAUGCUCUCAUCACAGGAAAUUGUUAGAACAUCAUCGUGGGGUGUUGGACAGCCAGGCCGGUGCGUGUGGGAUCAGAGAAAGAGGAUGAAGGAGCUCUACCCUCCCACUUGGAGAGUCUCGGCAGAGGACAGAGGCAGCUGGACUGACUGGGAGGCAGAAGGUGUGCUUCAGGAAACUGCUUCUGGUGACAUUUUUUCCCUGUGAGUUGGCAGGUCAAGAGUUGAGGAGUUACAGCUUGUCCCCACUGUUGAUAUUCUUAAGCAGGGAAUGACAUUUAUCUCUCAACAGUCCCUCAUUGUAAAGCCAAACCUGCUCCCUUCCCAAAACAACUUGCAGCGUUGUUCUGCUGUUAUCGUGGUAAGUUAUGAAUGUGAGACAUGUUGAAUCACAACAACUCUCCUGUACGCAGUUGUUCUGAGUGCUGGAGAAAUUUGUCUUUUGCCAUGUAUGGCAUUUUUAUGCUCCUAUUUAUUAUGGGUGCAAUGUUGGGGUCUUGAUGGGAUGGCAAGGAAGCAGGAAGCGCGCAGGCCGCUCUGGGAUUUUAAGUGCAGACUUCUGGAGUAUUCCGAGGAGUGUGGAUCAGUUUAUGAUUCAUCUGUGACCAAUGUGUGAGCAGCACUUCGUGUCUGCACGUGUACUUAAGCUAAAGCAUUUGAUUCAAUAAAAUGCUGCAUCCAAACCGGAAUUGUACUUUC